UGAGGAAUUUUCCGCAAUGGGCGAAAGCCUGACGGAGCAAUGCCGCGUGGAGGAUGAAGGCCUGUGGGUCGUAAACUCCUUUUCUCAUAGAAGAAAAAUGACGGUACAUGAGGAAUAAGCAUCGGCUAACUCCGUGCCAGCAGCCGCGGUAAUACGGAGGAUGCAAGCGUUAUCCGGAAUGAUUGGGCGUAAAGCGUCUGUAGGUGGCUUUUUAAGUCUACUGUCAAAUACCAAGGCUUAACCUUGGGCAGGCAGUGGAAACUAAAAGGCUUGAGUUGGGUAGAGGCAGAGGGAAUUCCCGGUGUAGCGGUGAAAUGCGUAGAUAUCGGGAAGAACACCGAAGGCGAAAGCACUCUGCUGGGCCUUAACUGACACUCAGAGACGAAAGCUAGGGUAGCAAAUGGGAUUAGAUACCCCCGUAGUCC
rnacentral:rRNA from 1 species